rnacentral:tRNA from 1 species
GUCUUGGUGGCUCAAUGGUUAAGUGCUUGGCUGCUAACCAAAAGGUUGGCAGUUCAAACCCACCCAGGGGCU